rfam:Homo sapiens chromosome 12, GRCh38 reference primary assembly.
GCCAGACAUGGUGGUGCAUGCCCGUAGUCCCAGCUACUUGGGAGGCUGAGGUGGGAGGAUCACUUGAGCCCAGGAAUUUGAGGCUGCAGUGAGCUAUGAUUGCACCACUGCACUCCAGCCUGGGCAACAGAGCGAGACCCUGUCUCAA